CUGUACUAUCUUGUCUGUGGUUCGAGGGUGAGAUUGUCACAGCAGUAUAGGGGGUACAUUCGAGAACCGUAAGACAAUUAAUAUAAA
rnacentral:pre_miRNA from 1 species